UACGUAGGGGCCGAGCGUUGUCCGGAGUUAUUGGGCGUAAAGCGCGCGCAGGCGGCUUGGCGCGCCCGACGUGAAAGCCCCCGGCUUAACCGGGGAGGGUCGUCGGGUACGGUCAGGCUUGAGGGCGGGAGAGGGUGGUGGAAUUCCCGGUGUAGUGGUGAAAUGCGUAGAUAUCGUGAGGAAGACCAGUGGCGAAGGCGGGUCUCUGGGCCGGUACUGACACUGAGGAGCGAAAGCGUGGGUAGCAAACAGG
rnacentral:rRNA from 1 species